UGCCAGCCGCCGCGGUAAUACGGAGGGAGCGAGCGUUAAUCGGAAUUACUGGGCGUAAAGCGCGCGUAGGCGGCUUUGUAAGUCGGAUGUGAAAGCCCUGGGCUCAACCUGGGAAUUGCAUUCGAUACUGCAGAGCUAGAGUAUGGUAGAGGGAAGUGGAAUUUCCGGUGUAGCGGUGAAAUGCGUAGAUAUCGGAAGGAACACCAGUGGCGAAGGCGGCUAACUGGCUCGGUACUGACGCUGAGAUGCGAAAGCGUGGGGAGCAAACAGGAUUAGAUA
rnacentral:rRNA from 1 species